rnacentral:rRNA from 3 species
CAAGACAACUUUACGGAGUUGACGAUUGACGGAGCGAAGCGACGUCAAAGCGUUCAUUAAAGUCGAGUUGGCUUAGGGAUACGUUCGUUGGGUAGGGGAGCGUUCUGUAAGCCUGUGAAGGUGUGUCGUGAGGCAUGCUGGAGGUAUCAGAAGUGCGAAUGCUGACAUAAGUAACGAUAAAGCGGGUGAAAAGCCCGCUCGCCGGAAGACCAAGGGUUCCUGUCCAACGUUAAUCGGGGCAGGGUGAGUCGACCCCUAAGGCGAGGCCGAAAGGCGUAGUCGAUGGGAAACGGGUUAAUAUUCCCGUACUUGGUGUUACUGCGAAGGGGGGACGGAGAAGGCUAUGUUGGCCGGGCGACGGUUGUCCCGGUUUAAGCGUGUAGGUGUGUGUUCCAGGUAAAUCCGGUUCACUUUAACACUGAGGCGUGAUGACGAGGCACUACGGUGCUGAAGCAACAAAUGCCCUGCUUCCAGGAAAAGCCUCUAAGCAUCAGGUAACAUCAAAUCGUACCCCAAACCGACACAGGUGGUCAGGUAGAGAAUACCAAGGCGCUUGAGAGAACUCGGGUGAAGGAACUAGGCAAAAUGGUGCCGUAACUUCGGGAGAAGGCACGCUGACACGUAGGUGAAGUGAUUUACUCACGGAGCUGAAGUCAGUCGAAGAUACCAGCUGGCUGCAACUGUUUAUUAAAAACACAGCACUGUGCAAACACGAAAGUGGACGUAUACGGUGUGACGCCUGCCCGGUGCCGGAAGGUUAAUUGAUGGGGUCAGCGCAAGCGAAGCUCCUGAUCGAAGCCCCGGUAAACGGCGGCCGUAACUAUAACGGUCCUAAGGUAGCGAAAUUCCUUGUCGGGUAAGUUCCGACCUGCACGAAUGGCGUAAUGAUGGCCAGGCUGUCUCCACCCGAGACUCAGUGAAAUUGAACUCGCUGUGAAGAUGCAGUGUACCCGCGGCAAGACGGAAAGACCCCGUGAACCUUUACUAUAGCUUGACACUGAACAUUGAGCCUUGAUGUGUAGGAUAGGUGGGAGGCUUUGAAGUGUGGACGCCAGUCUGCAUGGAGCCGACCUUGAAAUACCACCCUUUAAUGUUUGAUGUUCUAACGUGGACCCGUAAUCCGGGUUGCGGACAGUGUCUGGUGGGUAGUUUGACUGGGGCGGUCUCCUCCUAAAGAGUAACGGAGGAGCACGAAGGUUGGCUAAUCCUGGUCGGACAUCAGGAGGUUAGUGCAAUGGCAUAAGCCAGCUUGACUGCGAGCGUGACGGCGCGAGCAGGUGCGAAAGCAGGUCAUAGUGAUCCGGUGGUUCUGAAUGGAAGGGCCAUCGCUCAACGGAUAAAAGGUACUCCGGGGAUAACAGGCUGAUACCGCCCAAGAGUUCAUAUCGACGGCGGUGUUUGGCACCUCGAUGUCGGCUCAUCACAUCCUGGGGCUGAAGUAGGUCCCAAGGGUAUGGCUGUUCGCCAUUUAAAGUGGUACGCGAGCUGGGUUUAGAACGUCGUGAGACAGUUCGGUCCCUAUCUGCCGUGGGCGCUGGAGAACUGAGGGGGGCUGCUCCUAGUACGAGAGGACCGGAGUGGACGCAUCACUGGUGUUCGGGUUGUCAUGCCAAUGGCACUGCCCGGUAGCUAAAUGCGGAAGAGAUAAGUGCUGAAAGCAUCUAAGCACGAAACUUGCCCCGA